rnacentral:rRNA from 2 species
CUGGUGUCAGCCGCCGCGGUAAUGCCAGCACCUCGAGUGGUCAGGACGUUUAUUGGGCCUAAAGCAUCCGUAGCCGGCUCUGCAAGUCUUCGGUUAAAUCCACCUGCUCAACAGAUGGGCUGCUGGAGAUACUACAGAGCUAGGGAGUGGGAGAGGCAGACGGUAUUCAGUGGGUAGGGGUAAAAUCCUCUGAUCCAUUGAGGACCACCAGUGGCGAAGGCGGUCUGCCAGAACACGUUCGACGGUGAGGGAUGAAAGCUGGGGGAGCAAACCGGAUUAGAUACCCGGGUAGUCCCAGCUGUAAACGAUGCAAACUCGGUGAUGCAUUGGCUUAUGGCCAAUGCAGUGCCGCAGGGAAGCCGUUAAGUUUGCCGCCUGGGAAGUACGGACGCAAGUCUGAAACUUAAAGGAAUUGGCGGGGGAGCACCACAAGGGGUGAAGCCUGCGGUUCAAUUGGAGUCAACGCCAGGAAUCUUACCCGGGGAGACAGCAGAAUGAAGGUCAAGCUGAAGACUUUACCAGACAAGCU